ACGGGGUGCAGCAGGCGCGAAAAUUCCACAAUGCACGAAAGUGUGAUGGAGGGAUUCAGAGUGCCUCUUUCUUUUUGGAAGGGGCUUUUGUCGAGUCUAAACCGCUCGUUGAAUAAGCGGUGGGUAAGACAGGUGCCAGCCGCCGCGGUAAUACCUGCGCCGCGAGUGGUGACCUCGUUUAUUGGGUUUAAAAGGACCGUAGCCGGUUUGGUAAGUUCCUAAUGAAAUUCCAUGGAUGACUACGGAGCUUGUUGGGGAUACUACCAAGCUAAAGACCGGGAGAGGCCAAGGGUAUUUCGGGGGUAAGGGUUAAAUCUUGUAAUCCUCGGAGGACCGCCUGUGGCGAAGGCGCUUGGCUAGAACGGAUCUGACGGUGAGGGUCGAAAGCUAGGGGAGCAAAGGGGAUUAGAUACCCCCGUAGUCCUAGCUGUAAACGAUACCCACUAGAUGUUGGAUGUCUCACGAGGGCAUCCAGUUUCGUAGGGAAACCGUUAAGUGGGUCGCCUGGGGAGUACGUUCGCAAGGAUGAAACUUAAAGGAAUUGGCGGGGGAGCAC
rnacentral:rRNA from 1 species